rnacentral:rRNA from 1 species
UACGUAGGGGGCGAGCGUUGUCCGGAAUUAUUGGGCGUAAAGGGCGCGUAGGCGGCCUGGUAAGUCUGCUGUGAAACCUUGGGGCUCAACCCCAAGCGUGCAGUGGAUACUGUCAGGCUAGAGGAUGGUAGAGGCCAGUGGAAUUCCCGGUGUAGCGGUGAAAUGCGCAGAUAUCGGGAGGAACACCAGUAGCGAAGGCGGCUGGCUGGGCCAUUCCUGACGCUGAGGCGCGAAAGCUAGGGGAGCGAACAGGAUUAGAUACCCUGGUGGUCCUAGCCGUAAACGAUGAACACUAGGUGUGGGGGGAGUCGAAUCCCUCCGUGCCGAAGCCAACGCGUUAAGUGUUCCGCCUGGGGAGUACGGCCGCAAGGCUA